ACGGGAGGCAGCAGUAGGGAAUCUUCCACAAUGGACGAAAGUCUGAUGGAGCAACGCCGCGUGAAUGAAGAAGGCCUUCGGGUCGUAAAAUUCUGUUGUCAGAGAAGAACGUGCGUGAGAGUAACUGUUCACGUAUUGACGGUAUCUGACCAGAAAGCCACGGCUAACUACGUGCCAGCAGCCGCGGUAAUACGUAGGUGGCGAGCGUUGUCCGGAUUUAUUGGGCGUAAAGGGAACGCAGGCGGUCUUUUAAGUCUGAUGUGAAAGCCUUCGGCUUAACCGAAGUAGUGCAUUGGAAACUGGAAGACUUGAGUGCAGAAGAGGAGAGUGGAACUCCAUGUGUAGCGGUGAAAUGCGUAGAUAUAUGGAAGAACACCAGUGGCGAAAGCGGCUCUCUGGUCUGUAACUGACGCUGAGGUUCGAAAGCGUGGGUAGCAAACAGGAUUAGAUACCCUGGUA
rnacentral:rRNA from 1 species